UACGGGGGGGGCAAGCGUUGUUCGGAAUUACUGGGCGUAAAGGGCGCGUAGGCGGUUGGAUAAGUCAGCUGUGAAAACCACGGGCUUAACUCGUGGCCUGCAGUUGAGACUGUCUGGCUUGAGUGUGGGAGAGGAGAGUGGAAUUCCUGGUGUAGUGGUGAAAUGCGUAGAUAUCGGGAGGAACACCAGUGGCGAAGGCGGCUUUCUGGUCUGCUCUUGACGCUGAGGCGCGAAAGCUAGGGUAGCAAACGGG
rnacentral:rRNA from 1 species